rnacentral:tRNA from 1 species
GCCCAGGUGGUGAAAUUGGUAACCACGUGCGGUUCAGAGCCGCAUGCCGUAAGGCUUGGAGGUUCAAGUCCUCUCCUGGGCA